UAGGCUUGACAUGCAUCUGACCGCUAUGGAAACAUAGUUUUUUGUACGAAAGUGUAAACAGAUGCAC
rnacentral:rRNA from 1 species